rnacentral:rRNA from 1 species
UACAGAGGUCUCAAGCGUUGUUCGGAUUCAUUGGGCGUAAAGGGUGCGUAGGUGGCGCCGUAAGUGGGGUGUGAAAUUUCGGAGCUUAACUCCGAAACUGCAUUCCAUACUGCGGUGCUUGAGGACUGGAGAGGAGACUGGAAUUUACGGUGUAGCAGUGAAAUGCGUAGAGAUCGUAAGGAAGACCAGUGGCGAAGGCGGGUCUCUGGACAGUUCCUGACACUGAGCACGAAGGCCAGGGAGCAAACGGG